CCGCCCCUGAACGUGUGUCCACGCGGCUCCCUCCCCCUGCGCUCGCGUGGAGGCAGAGAAGGCUCCAAACACCUGUCAAACGGCAUCAAGCAGAUGUGCUUCUUCCCCAAACCCAUCCCCAGCCAUGAGGCAGAGAAGGAGCGCUGAUUUGAAUUGAAUAAGACCAUUCAGAUUUCCCAGGAAACUGCCCCAAUUUGCAGGACCUCAUUUGGAGGCUUAGGCAGUAAUGAACUCUUACAUUACUGAAGUCAUGUGCGGUUGGUUAUAAGCCGUGUUUCCCAAUGCUGCAUUGACUUAUACGUGAAGUCGAGUUUUGCCUACCUGGACUGCACCGGUCACAUUUUGGGGCUGGUCAAAACCAGCUGAGAUGAAAGAAAAGACUCCUCAGGCGGCCUGAGGGAAACCAGGUCAGGAGGUCAAGGCAAGCCCACAGAGCCGUGCUGCGAGUGGGAAGGAGUCUGCUGGAGAGGCACAAACUGCAAGGGCAACCCGAAGGGUUCAGAUGAUGGAUAAGUCGCAUCACCUUCCCAACUGGAAAGUUAUCUUCUGUUAUGGCCUACACUGAUAAAGCACCUAGAGCAAAACACAGAGAGCACACUUCUGAGAUGCAGUGCGUGCACCACAAGAAACUUACAACGGGAACCUGCAAAGAGG